GGUGUCUUGGUCUAGUGGUAUGACGCCAUGAAACACUUCGGUGGUUUGUGGAGACGUCGGUUCGAUACCGAUAGACAUCU